GAUGAAGAACGUAGCGAAAUGCGAUAAGUAGUGUGAAUUGCAGACUUUAGUGAAUCAUCGAAUUUUUGAACGCACAUUGCGCCCCUUGGUAUUCCAUUGGGCAUGCCUGUUCGAGCGUCAUUUCUCCCUUCAAGCACCGCUUGGUGAUGGGUGUUUGUCCGUGUCAUCUGCGCGGACUCGCCCCAAUAACAUUGGCAGCAGGCCGCCGGUCUCUCGCGCAGCACUUUGCGCUUCUCGAGGCCGUGGUGAGCCGGCGUCCAUCAAGAUCUCCCCCAGUUUGACCUCGAAUCAGGUAGGGAUACCCGCUGAACUUAAGCAUAUCAAUAAGCGGAGGA
rnacentral:misc_RNA from 1 species